UACAGAGGUCUCAAGCGUUGUUCGGAUUCAUUGGGCGUAAAGGGUGCGUAGGCGGCGCGGUAAGUCGGGUGUGAAAUCUCGGGGCUUAACUCCGAAACUGCAUUCGAUACUGCCGUGCUUGAGGACUGGAGAGGAGACUGGAAUUUACGGUGUAGCGGUGAAAUGCGUAGAUAUCGUAAGGAAGACCAGUGGCGAAGGCGGGUCUCUGGACAGUUCUUGACGCUGAGGCACGAAGGCCAGGGGAGCAAACAGG
rnacentral:rRNA from 1 species